rnacentral:rRNA from 1 species
GCUUAACGCGAAGAACCUUACCUACCUUUGAAUCCACGGAACCUAGCAGAGAUGUUGGGGUGCCUUCGGGAACCGUGAGACAGGUGCUGCAUGGCUGUCGUCAGCUCGUGUCAUGAGAUGUUGGGUUAAGUCCCGUAACGAGCGCAACCCUUGUCCUUAGUUGCCAUCAGGUUAUGCUGGGCACUUUAAGGAGACUGCCGGUGAUAAACCGGAGGAAGGUGGGGAUGACGUCAAGUCCUCAUGGCCCUUACAGGCAGGGCUACACACGUGCUACAAUGGGCAGUACAGAGGGAAGCCAACCCGCGAGGGGGAGCGAAUCUCAUAAAGCUGUUCGUAGUCCGGAUUGGAGUCUGCAACUCGACUCCAUGAAGUUGGAAUCGCUAGUAAUCGCGGAUCAGAAUACCGCGGUGAAUACGUUCCCGGGUC